GUGUUAGCAACAGGGGGUUGCUGCCCCUGUCUUUUGUUUGUCAGAGAUUAUCGCCCUUACCAGUCAGCAUAUGAGUGUUUUUGCUGGGUCGUGGUUUUGCGUCAGAACCCGACGUCAUUUUAUGACGUAGUUUUAGAUUGUGCGGGGCGUGAAAAAGUUUUGGAAGAGGCAGACGACGGGAGACGAGAUAUAGAAAGGACAGGCGUGAAAGUGGUCUGACUGUAAGUGUGGAUACAGGGACCGGUAAUAAGUAAAUUAGUUGCUUGCCCAGUCAAGGAACUACGUAAGGACUCACUGGGAGUGUGGAAUCCCAACGUAACCCCCGGAGAGGUGACGAGAAGCGGACGGAAAAGAUUUUUGGAGAGAGAGGACGGACGGAAAACUGAGGAGCUGUCUGACUGUACGUGUGGAUACAGAGACGGUUGGGAGAAAGGACGAGUAGCGGACAGUGUAUGGAUUGUUCGUUUUGGGGAACUUGUGUAUGUGCAAUUCAAGGAGGAUUUAAUUUUGGGUAUGUUCCACUUAAGUGGUGGCAGCUCGUAUCCGCGCAGCUUUUCAAGGGCCGCCGUUUGGGAGUUCUCAAGCUGUUCUUCGUAGUCUCUGUAUCGAAACAUAAACUGUUCUUAAAGUAAACUGAGCUACGUGUGACUACAGUUGUCCC